rnacentral:rRNA from 1 species
AGUCGAGCGGCAGCGGAGAGUAGCUUGCUACUUUGCCGGCGAGCGGCGGACGGGUGAGUAAUGUCUGGGAAACUGCCUGAUGGAGGGGGAUAACUACUGGAAACGGUAGCUAAUACCGCAUGACCUCGAAAGAGCAAAGUGGGGGAUCUUCGGACCUCACGCCAUCGGAUGUGCCCAGAUGGGAUUAGCUAGUAGGUGAGGUAAUGGCUCACCUAGGCGACGAUCCCUAGCUGGUCUGAGAGGAUGACCAGCCACACUGGAACUGAGACACGGUCCAGACUCCUACGGGAGGCAGCAGUGGGGAAUAUUGCACAAUGGGCGCAAGCCUGAUGCAGCCAUGCCGCGUGUGUGAAGAAGGCCUUAGGGUUGUAAGGCACUUUCAGCGAGGAGGAAGGCAUCACACUUAAUACGUGUGGUGAUUGACGUUACUCGCAGAAGAAGCACCGGCUAACUCCGUGCCAGCAGCCGCGGUAAUACGGAGGGCGCAAGCGUUAAUCGGAAUUACUGGGCGUAAAGCGCACGCAGGCGGUUUGUUAAGUCAGAUGUGAAAUCCCCGCGCUUAACGUGGGAACUGCAUUUGAAACUGGCAAGCUAAGUCUUGUAGAGGGGGGUAGAAUUCCAGGUGUAGCGGUGAAAUGCGUAGAGAUCUGGAGGAAUACCGGUGGCGAAGGCGGCCCCCUGGAC